AGAAAAGAAACCCCAAUUUUUCACUGCAGAAGUAAGAAAGCAAAAGAGGGAAGCAAUCUUUUAAUUUCAAUGAAUCGCAUCUUACUCCUUCCAUCAUCUUAUGUUCAUUCAAAAGGUCUUUGGGCUUGGGGAGACUAAUAGUGGAGUUCUUUCAUAUCUACACAGUAUCAAAAAUCCAUAAAUUAAAAAUCUGGUGAUUCUCCUCCCCACUCCUUUUUCUGGAGUUUCUUUGAUGGACUAUGAAAUGGACUGAGCUGAAACCAGAGCCAAGGAAAGUUGAUUAUUUACGUGAAAAAUAAAAAUCUGAAAAUAAGAAAUCUUUUCUUAUAAUGCAGAAUAAAAUGUAUCUGACUAAAUAUAUUUUUGUUUAAUUUGAAAAAUACAUUACAUUUUAUCUGCACAUUGUGUGUGUUUCCUUAUAACAAUGACUGAGUUUGUUAAGAAAAGAGUCUAAUGGUGCUGUUUGGCCUGCUUAUUUCAGAGGAGAAGGUCCCGGAAUAGCAUUCAAGAACACUUCUCUACAAAAAGGGAGCAAUUCCUGUUAGAUACUAUGUUUAGUCUUCUUCAGCAGAAAGGAGUAACCUAGGUUCUUGUCUUCACUAACUCUAGGAAAAUUGUUCAGGAAGGGGGUUGAAUUGCAUGGGUGAUAUUUAUAUCAAUAUCUUUAUCAUUGAUAUCUAGAUUUUGCCAUACUUAGUGCAGGUUUACAUAAACCCUUUAAGUUCUGAAAUAAUUCUUAACAUUAGGAAAAAGAGUGCAAUAAGUCACCCUCGUUACUAAUGAGGAGAACUCCUUUCUUCUAUUUCUGUGAUCCAGUUAGUGAGCUUCAUCUUAGCACACUGGAGAAUGACAGAACGCAGGAAAUUCACUUCCGAAUGCAUGGCCUCAGAGUAAUCUUCUCAAGUCAGAAUACAUUGGUACCUCUUGGUAGAACAAAGGGCAGCUCCUUCUCCCUCUUUCAUUUAUUUUAUUGUGGAUCCUCUUAGGAAUUUGGAAACAACAAUACAGUUUUCUGGAACCAGCAGCCAGGCAGUCAUGGGCCUCGGGCACUGUGGCUGCUGAGACAGACACAUAAGCAUAGUAGUGUCUAGCUGCCAUAGCAACAAGGGCUUAGAAUCAAGG
rnacentral:lncRNA from 1 species